rnacentral:lncRNA from 1 species
AAACCACUACAUACCGUUUGUACAUACCAAAGAAGAGAUUCAAGUAAGGCUGCAAAGGAUGUGAAGAAGUUUUAUUUAGCAGCUGGAUUUUGGAUGAAAGAACAUGAGGUCAGUUUUCAUAAAACUUUAGCUUCUUGCACUUAAUUUUAAUAUGAUUUGGUUUUUUAUUUUUCUUUUCAAAUUGUCACAGCUUUUAUUAUGAGUGGUAUUUUGUAUAUUUUUUCUUCUUAUUUAUUUAUUUAUUGAAAACGACGAUGUCCAUAAGAUGAUAAAGGCAAGCCUUACUCAUGCACUUUUUUACUAAUUAAUGCUUAACAUAAGUAGCAAAUCUAUAGCUAUAGAAAGAUUUGCAAAAACCUAAUAUCAUAAUUACUACCAUAUUAUUUGUUAGAUUUAAACUCAACAUCAUAAGACUUGUGGCACCUUAAUCUGGACAUUUGAGUUUCAGCUUAUUGAGAAAUUAUUAGAAGAGUGUAUAGUCAGUAGUCACCCAUUCUUGAGUUUUAGUGGAUUGAAAAAAUGAAAAGAAUUGCGAGUUGUUAAGAGAGUACAAAAUGUAAUUCAUCCUAAAUUAAUGUAAUUCUCUCUCCCUACUUUUUUCUCAAUAUUCUUUCUUCUUUUAUUGUUUUAUAACACAAAAGUAAAAUGAAGGAGGUGUAAGGUUGGCUUUUUUUUUUUUUACUUCAAAUACGAGUCACGAUUUUAUUACCACUGUGUGCAAAAAAAGUUGCCGAAGGGGGUCUAGGCCUUACCUUCAUAUACAUUUUGGAGCCUGUACUAGUAUGACUCAAGAUUUGUAAACAUAACAGUUCCCUAGCUAUGAACAAACUCAUUGAUCCUAAAAUAAAGUGGCAACAAAGCUGGGAGUUCAAGGUGGCUCGAACGUGAGCAUGCUUGGUCUCCUCUUCUUGACUUGAAAUGAAGGCAUUUGCCAUCUAUCUGUGUUCAAAAGUCCUUUAAUCUGACUAGGUAAAGAGCAAAAAUUUGUACAUAUGUAUUGGUUUUCCUGAUUGUGGCUUAGAGAGGCCAUUCUAUCUGUGACUUGGUUGACCUCUCUAAAACAAUGAUUGGUGAAGAUACCUUGUCUAUUAAUGAGUUUCUUAAUAUCUUGGACUGCUUCUUUGAUUCUCCACGGAAUGGUCCAGUUGCCAGAGAUGCAAUUUUAUAGUAACAUUGAAUCAGUUUCACCAAUGAUUAAGUUCAACCUUUUUUCUAUACACCACUUGAUCUCAAACAAGAAAGCACAUGCCUCAGCCUAAUUGCUUGUACCUUGCCCCAGCGGAAUGGAGUAGGCCAUUAUAAAUUUGCCCAUAUUGUCCCUCGCUACACCUCCUCCUCCACAUUCACCAUUUCUGCAUGAACCAUCACUGUUAAGUUUCACGAACAAGAUAGGUGGUUUAAUCUAUUUCACCACAUAGGUAUUAGUUUCCAUUAGAGGUAGUUCCCAAACUCUGCACAGGUUCUCCUAUGAGUAGUUGAGAUCCAAUUUCCUGAAUUGAGCUUUGACAAUUUGUAUAAUAUUGAAGUUGAUUAGUGAGAUAGAUUUUGCAACUGUUGGCCUCUCCAUUUCAUAUUUAGAGCUGCAUUUUGACCUCCAUAACUCCCAUAUUACUAUAGGUGGAAGUAUCCUGCAAAAUAUAGGCAGCCACAGAGUUAGCAGUAUUAUGAUUUCAGUAAUUUACAAGCAAGUUUCUAAGUGGUACUCCACCGUAUACAAUGCCAAUCUUGCCAGCAUAGUAUUCCCAUAUGAGCUGCUCAUAUUGUCCACUGAUGAACAAAUGUUGAACAGACUCUUCUGCAGAUUGCAUAUUUAAAUCUGUACAACAAUAACACUUAGAAAUAAUAUUAGUACCAAAUUUUUUAAUUCUAUCAUCGGUGGGAAUUCUGUCAUGGACAACUCUCCACGUAAUACAGGCCAUUUUAAAAGGCACAUUUUUGUGCCAGAUCAUGCUAUCAAAUUGGGAGAUCUAUUUCCUUUGUCUUAGUUUCUUCCAGGCAGAGGCUAUGGAGAACUUUCCAUCUUGAGUUUUAUUCCAGAUUAGGGUGUCAUUUUCAUCAGGAUGAAGAUUGAUUUGAAGAGCUGAAAUCUGGUCUUUCACAUUAUCAGGAGGCUGGAUGUUUAAAGUGGACCAGUCCUAGAGACCCUCAUUUAGAACUUCAUUGACCUUGAUAUUAUCCUGUACAAUAGCUCCUCCCAUUCUAUUGUGUAGAGGACCAAGCUUGGACCAGUUGUCAAACCAAAAACUGAUAUUCCCUUUUUUCAAUUGCCAUUGGAUGCAGGGCUCCAGUUCACUCUUCAACUUACACAUGGCCUUCCAACUAUGCGAUUGCCCAUUCCUCCACUGAAGAUUGAUUGGAUGCUCAUUGCCAAAGUAUUUGGCUUUCAUGAAUUGAGACUAUAGGGAAUUACUGGUUCUUAGGUUCCACCAUUGUUUAGCCGUGAAAGCCUGAUUAAUAUCUUCAAGCCUUCUGAAAUUAGCUCCCCCCUCUUCAUAAAGGAAACACAAGUUAGACCAGGAGACCCAGUGGUAUCUUCCCCCCUCUUCUUAGCCAGACCAGAAAAAUCUGGCUAUAAACUUCUCAAUCAUAUCUAGUGACCCUUUAGGUGGAUGAACAGCUGCCAGCGUGUGAGUAUUGAUGGCUAGGAGAACAUGUCUAAUGAGGACAGCCCUACCCCCACUAGAUAAAAAAUUUAGAUGCCAACCUCUAACUCUGUUGAUGGUUUUGGUAACCAUAUCCGCAAAGAUAGAGAUCUUCUUUCUCCCAUAGUAGAUAGGGCAGCCUAGAUACCUCAUGGGGAGUUUAUCAAACCUCAUACCAAGAAUCCUUCCCUCUCUUCUGAUAGUGCUCUGAGGGGUAUUCUCAGUCAUAGAGUAGCAUCUUUUGUUCUUGUUUAUCAAUUGGCCAGAAACAGUUUCAUACGUAUUCAGGAUAUUUAGAAGAGGAUAGUAUCAUCAGCAAAGGCCAGAUAGUUGACUUGAGGGCCUUGUCUCUUCAUGUAGAAACCAUGUAAUAUCCUAUUAUUUUGGAGAGCAUUGAGCAUCUGAGACAAUAAUUUAGCACUGAGGACAAAAAGGGAAGGAGAAAGGGGAUCACCUUGUCUAGGACCUCUGCUGGAUUUAAAGAAGUCAUGCAUGCUACCAUUGACUAUCAGAGAGUACCAGUUAUUAGAAAUAAACCUAUAUAUAAGAUUAAUCCAUUCCUCAGCAAAACCCAGAUGUCUUAACAUGAAACAUAUAUAUGGCCAGGAGACUCUAUCAUAUGCUUCAGCCAUGUCAAGUUUAAUAACAACAUUGCCACCUCUCAUAGGUUUUCUAAUAUCAGAAAUAAUUUUCUGAGCCAGAAGAAUGUUUUCAGUGAUGGCUCUACCUUUCACAAAGCCACUUUGGUUAGUAGAGAUGAUUUUAGGCAAGAGGGAGCUAAGUCUAGCAUUGAUAGCCUUGGCAAUGAUUUUUCCGGUAACAUUACAUAGGCUAAUUGGUCUAAUAUCUGAGAAGCUUUGGGGAGAAUCAACUUUUGGGAGCAUCACCAGGCAAGUAUGAGAGAAAAACCUAGGUAAGACAGCCCCAUGGAAAAAAGCCACCACUGCUCUAUGAACAUCAUUACCAACCACAUACCAAGCAGUUUGAUAGAAUCUUCCACUAAGGCCAUCCGGACCUGGUGCACUAUCAGGAUCAAUAGAGAAGACAUUGUCUUUGACUUCUUGAGUAGAUGGAGUGAACAUCAGGAAGUUGUUAUCAUCAUCAUUGAUGACCUUUUUAAUAAUAUUCAAGGCUUGAAGAUCUUCAGUGGUGUUAUCAGCGCUAAAAAGAUCUUGAAAGAACCUUACUCCAGCAUCAGCUAUCUCAGUAGUACCCUCCAUCCAAUUACCAUUACAAUCUUUGAUCUUCAUGAUGGAUAACAUUUUCCUUCUAUCACAAAUGGCACCAUGAAAGAAGGCAGUGUUUUCAUCACCUUCAGAUAACCACCUUACUCUGGCUUUUUGUCUAAGCACACUAUCUUGCAAUUCUGCCUUAGCUUUGGAUAAUUUGAGCAUGUUGCCUUGGUUGUUGUCAUUAAGGUAGACUUCUUCAAGUCUUCUAAUCUCCAUUUUCAGUUUUUUUGGUUCCUCAUAAAUAUCCCCAAAUACAGUUCUAGACCAAGAGCUUAAUGCACUGCAUACUCUCUUGAUUUUUUGAUGCAAAUUGUACAAAGGAUUGCCAUUGUCUUCUCCAAGCCAGGCCUAUUGAAUCACAUUGAGGUACUUCUCGUGAUGCACCCAGAAAUUUAGAAACUUGAAAUACCUAACAUGCUCAGAAGGACUAGAACCACAAGCAAUCAAUAGUGGAGAGUGAUCAAAACAGGAUCUAGACAUGUGUUUGACUGAGGUCCCACCAAAUAGAUCAAACCAUUCAACAUUGUAAACCAAUCUGUCCAAUCUUUUCCAUAUAGUGUUUGGGGGGUCUCUAUUGUCAGUCCAUGUGAAAUCAGAUCCUACAUAACCCCCAUCUUGCAACUCACAAUCAGAAAGACAAGAGAUGAAGUCAAGACUUUUCUCAACUCUAAAAUCUCUGCCCCUAGUUUCUCUGCAGCAUUGGAAAUAAUAUUAAAGUCCCCCACAACUCCCCAUGGACCAUUGAUAGUACUGGCAGUUGCUCUAAGAUCAUCCCACAGAAGGUUUCUUAGUUGCUCAUCACAUUUGGCAUAGACUGUCGUCAUGAAGAAGGAUAUAGGCCUCUGUGUAUCAGUGAUAUGUACUAAUACGUGUUGCUCUCUGUCUUCUAUGAUAUCGAGCACAUAUUCAUUGGACCAUAGAAUUCAGAUUUUGUUGGAGCAAUUAUGAAAACAAGACUGGUAGCCCAGUCUUCUUUUAAAUUUGUCUAUCUUUCUUGCUGCAGCCAUAGGCUCUUGAAGGAAGACAAAAGGGAAUUUUGUAUUGUUGAGGUGUAAGGUUGGCUUAUGUAUAAUGCUUAUGUGCUUUUGAACAUAUGGUUAAAUCUUUUGUCCGCAAUGGAUGAGUCACUUAGGACCAAAAUGCUAAUCUAUUAGUUGACCUCCAGAAUCCAGGUCUUAAAUUAGCUAGAGACAUUCAAACACAAAAGUCUGAGUUCUGUAAUUUAUUUGAACUGCCAUCACUUUGAGCUUUUUCUUUACUUUUUCACAAGUAAAUUAUUUUACUAAUUCAUUUUAAGGAAACCUACAGACAUAUAUGAAAAUAAACCCAUAUGAAUAUUAACUCAUAUCUUUAUAAAACAUAUACAACCUCCGACAAAUCCCACAAAAUUAGGGAUUUUUUGUAAUGAUAUUCCUUUUUCUCUUUCUUCUUUUAUCUUCUCCUCCCACAAACCGCCAUUGUCUUUAUCCCAUCCCUGUUCGUGGUCAUCGUAGUUUUGCCUGUUUACAGUUGUCUGCUAGAGUUCGUCGUUACUUCGUCAAAAGUUUGUCAAAGUUCUCUCCUAUAGU